rnacentral:rRNA from 1 species
UACGUAGGGGGCGAGCGUUGUCCGGAAUUACUGGGCGUAAAGCGUGCGCAGGCGGUUAUGUAAGACAGGUGUGAAAUCCCCGGGCUUAACCUGGGAACUGCAUUUGUGACUGCAUAGCUAGAGUACGGUAGAGGGGGAUGGAAUUCCGCGUGUAGCAGUGAAAUGCGUAGAUAUGCGGAGGAACACCGAUGGCGAAGGCAAUCCCCUGGACCUGUACUGACGCUCAUGCACGAAAGCGUGGGGAGCAACGAGAUGAGUAGUACCG